AAAACUUUCAACAACGGAUCUCUUGGUUCUGGCAUCGAUGAAGAACGCAGCGAAAUGCGAUAAGUAAUGUGAAUUGCAGAAUUCAGUGAAUCAUCGAAUCUUUGAACGCACAUUGCGCCCUCUGGUAUUCCGGGGGGCAUGCCCGUUCGAGCG
rnacentral:rRNA from 1 species